GGAACUUUCGGCCGCCGAACCUGCCGCCGAAAGUGCCCUGUCCAGCCUUCUUUUGCAUGUUUUCCUUGAUUGUUUUAGGAUGUUUUAGGGAGAUUUUUGGAGAAUUUUAUAGAGUUGUUCUUGAGUUAGUUUGGUCCCUCAUUUGAGUCCACCUGUGUAGGAACGGACCAGAGGAACCGAAGAGAUCAGCAGUGAGCACUGCCUCAGAGUCAGUUUAGAGUUAGCCAGAGGUGAGUGGAACUAAACUUAAUGUUUCUAAUAUUGAGAAAUUAAAUGCUUUAAGCAUGUUUCAUGCAUCAUGAUUAUGAAAUAGGUUGAUUGCACUAGAAUUUUCACUAAUAUGUGCAUUGCAUUAUUUAUUGUACUUGCCGACGGACAUAGUUUGGAUUCAUUAGCCCUCCCAUCAAGUCCUGAGGAGCCCCAUCGAGGGCCGGGCACAUCAAGACCUGAGGAGCCCCAUUGAGGGCCGGGCAUAUCAAGACCUGAGGAGCUCCUUCGCGGGCCGGGCACAGUUUGAGGGAGUUUUGUUUUCGUCCGUCCGAUAUGUGAUUACCUGUGAUGUAAUGCAUUUCAUGUGAGCAUGUUUAUUUUGUUCUACUCACUGGGCUAGUAUAGCUCAUCCCUCUCCCUUAACCCCAGUCUUGCAGGAUCAGAGUUCCGGGGGAGUUCAGCAGAGUACAGAAAGAGUAAAGAGAUAUGUAAUAGCUUAGUGUGGACAUGUAAUUAUUGUAAAGAGAUGUUUUAGUAUUGUUUAGAGUAUAGUAUUGUGCUUGACCCAUAUGUUUGUAAAUCCCUUUUUGUAUACAUGGUCCAUUUAUGUAAAUGUUUUAUUGUUGUGUAUGAAAACCAGGCUUAACAUAGAAAGAGUUUUAACCCGUCUAGAGCAAUGAUGAGAACUCUAGUAAGGGGUUCUGUAGUACAGAGAUAGUGCAUGCACAGGUUGAGCCUUGGUACAGAGCAAAGUUUUAUGUUUUUACAGAAAAUGUAUGAUCAUGUAUGGGAUUUCACAGGUACACAGAGAGUAUAGCAGGCUUGCUACGGGUCCCGGCGACCUUAAGUCGAUCUGGAUCCUAGCGCCGGUAGCGGUCCGAUUUUUGGGUCGUUACAGUCGAAACCUUUGGGGGCAGGUUAGGCGGCCAAAUAGCUGCCUCUACAGGCAAGUUCGACAGCCGAAGCCGAAAGACCCCUGCCCAGCCUUUUUCUGCUUGAUUUCUACGUAUGUUCUUGUGUGUUCUUAGGGAUUUCUUGGGGGUUAUUUAAGUAUUGUAGAAAUUAUGUUUGGUCCCUUAUUUAAGUCCAUCUGUGUAGGAUCAGACUUGAAAAACCGUAGAGACUUACAGUGAGAUAGCUGCUUCAGUAUUAGACAAGCGUCAGCCAGAGGUGAGUAGAACUGAACUGAUAUAUUAUUUUAAAGAAAUCAAACAUCUUAAGCAUACUCAUGCAUCACGAAUGCCAUGUAUAUAUAAUUAGGUUAUUUUAUAAUAGUAUAAUUGUGGACACGUAUUAUUUUAUGGAUUAGAAUUGUGCUUUGCCCUAGUGUUUGUCCUUAUAAUUCCUAUUUCAUAUCCCUUAUAUGUAAAAAGUUUUAAGUAUAUGUAUGUUUGAACCGAGCUUGAGGCAUAUUAUAUUGAUCAUACUGAAGAAUUUGAUGAGGACUCUUGUAAUACCCGGCUAGACUCCGGUAUCGGAAUUCCUACCGUCCGGUGGAAUCUCGGAUGUCGGAGACCUCUAGAAGGGUAGAAUCAUGUUUUAUAAAAAUGUUUUAAUGUGUUUUAUGAUUUUUAAGCAUUAAAUAAAAUGAGUUUUUGCAUGAAAAAAAUAGCAUUGGAGGAAAACCCAGGUUCGGCCGCCGAAAGUCAAGUUCGGCCGCCGAACAUUUGCAUGGAUGCGGAGGCACAUUCGGCCCCCGAACGUGGCCUGGCCAGCCACUAUAUAAGGGGCACUUAGCCGAAAUGGGCGAGCUUUCUCCCAUUUUCGGCCACAGCAAGCUUCCGACUUUCCCUUUUGCAAACCUAGUGUUCUUCCUCCAAAUCCCCACCAUUUUUCCUGAGUUUUAAGCUUGCAUUGAAGGUUUUGAACUUUUGAAACAAGUUUUGGAGCUUUGGGAACUCAGGAGCUCAUCUUCUUGGAUCUCCAAGUUUAGGUCGUCUCCCUCUCGAUCUUCAAGAGGUAAGAGCCGAUCUUAAGCUCCUUAUGUGUUUUCAAUAAGUUUUAUGUUAGAUCGAUGGGUAGAAAUGCAUGUUAGGUUAUAUGUGGAGUUAUGGGUUAAUCUUGAUGUCUUGGACAAUGUAUGUUGUUUUUGUGUGUUUGAAGUGUUGUAGUUGGGGUAUUUGAUGUUUUGAGGCCCCUAGGAACUUGUAUGCAUGAUUUAACUGAGGUAUAUGCAUGAUUGGUGAGUUUGGAGGCGAAAAUGCAUUUGGGAGCCAAGUUUCUGCCCUUCGGCAGAAACCAGGUUCGGCAGCCGAAGGCACUCUCGGCCACCGAACAUGGCUGGUGAGGCAGGCCUUUCGGCUGCCGAAGUUGCCCCCGAAGGGAGACUUUCGUCUCUGUCUGGGACUUUCGGCCGCCGAAGGUGCCGCCGAACAUGCAUGAGUUUCGUCUCUGUCUGGGAGUUUCGGCCGCCGAAGGUGCCGCCGAACCUGCCUGACUUUCGGCUCUGGAGGGACUUUCGGCCGCCGAACCUGCCGCCGAAAGUGCCCUGUCCAGCCAUUUCUUGCAUGUUAUUAUGUGAUUGUUUCAUGAUGUUUUAGGGGGUUUUUGGGGAAUAUAUUAGAGUUAUGUUUAUGUAUGUUUGGU
rnacentral:lncRNA from 1 species